GAAAUAGGCUGGAAAGAUUCUAAAGAGCAGAAAAAGUCUUAUGUUUGAAAACUGAGAGUCCGUCAAAAUCAUAUCUGUGAGCUGUUGCCACGAAGCCUCAAAUUCCAGCUUUCUGUUCCUGCUUCAUUCAUUUUUCUUUCACCCAUUCAGGCUUUCAGGCAAGGAAGUUUCUUCCUGAGCUAUACCCAUGGGCCUAUUCUUUUGUUUCUUAAACUCAGUGCUACUCUUCAUGUAUUGAUUUAGCCUGCAUAUAACACAAGCAACUUUAAAGUGGGUGCAAAUGUUCUCAGGCCACCAAAGAUCCACUCUCUGAUCCUGUGCAGGUCUAGAGGACUUGCCAAGCCUUGACUGGUCGUUUCUCUUUCCCAAAUCCAAUUCCCUCAGGCUAGAGCAGCUGGAAGACCUCCUUAUUUGUAUAGCCAUCCCAUGCUGAAGAGUUGUAAAUCAGAUGUUUCUUUAGAAGUUGCCUUGGAUUCCCCAGCAGGUGUCUAGGAUCACAGUGUUUCUGGUGUGUCUGCAGAGAAAGAGUCUCAGUGCUGAACAGGACGUGAUAAGCCCAGUUAUUGCUGGAGAAGGUGGAAGAAUGGAUAUUGGCUAUGCUUCUCUCCCUUUUGGUAAUUUCCAAGAGAUAUGUAUGUCCCUGCAGCUUAGUAUCUGACCAGGCUAUAUUUCAGGGAUAACUAAGAAAUAAUGCUCAACUUAUUUUGAAGAUGUCUUUGUUACUAAUCACUGGCUUGCCAGACAGCUCUUUAGUUUCUUUCUGUUGGUUUCUAGUCUCUUCUCUGAGUCAGGUCUCCUGGUGUCCUGGUACAGAGACUGCAGGCCCCUGAACUACAGAGUCCUGCCCUAUCCACUCCCUUCCUUUCUCUUUUGCUCCCUUUUUCUAGAUAGAAAUCUUAUGUUCCCUCUGUGGAUUCCUGGGUUCCAAUCUUCCAUGGUAGUCUAGGGGUGAAGAGAUCCUUCUACCACCAUUCCAGUGGCACUAUGACACUGUUGCUAAGCACUAGUGAUUCUGUUUGCAGGCUGAUGUUUACUGGGGAGGACCUUCAUGCCACAGGCUCACUACAAUGAGCACUUCAACCUAACUGCUGGCUCUUUUGGGGCUACCUUUAACAAGGGCAUUUUCUCAGCCCGAAAUGUUUCCAUGGUCACUGGAAUGGAGGUUG
rnacentral:lncRNA from 1 species